CCCAGAGAAGGGGGUGUGACCCCAAAUCUCAGUCAGACUGAGGGUGCGACCCAACCCCCCAAAUCCAAGACAUCCAAGCCCGUUUCUUCCGUCUCCCCUCCCCCCCCGCUCCGUACCGCGCCAUUACCUGUUGGGCAGCCCCUGCUACCCCGGGGGUAAACAUGUGGAGUCAAAUGCUGGCUCAGGAAGUUUUGCAGCGACUGUGCGCAAUACCUCCUCCCCCCAUUGUGACAGAGGACAAUAAGGAGCAACUGAUGAAAAGUUUUAUUGCUCUGUAUUUCUUAACCAGGUAUGAAGUUUUGAGUAGCCCUCUGCAAUUAUAAGAGUAUAAAUUUCAACGAUGAUCCCAUUCCUGUAUUGAUAAAAGCAAUUUCUUCACCCAAAGAGUUCCCAGUACCAAUGCAAUCACAAGUUCAGCUCCAUUUAUAUAGACUUUGUAAAUUUUAAAAUAUCGUCCUUGUAAGAACCCUGUAAAGUACCUAUCUCUUGUUAUCUCUAGUUUUGCAGGAAACAGAAAAAAUAGGUAAAGUGAGAUCUAAUAUGUAACAAAAUCCAGUCAAUAAGAAUUUAUUAAGCACCUACUGAGCUAACUGGGGGCGGAAUAAAAAAUAUAUAAAUUUUAAACAGUCACUGUCUCUUCUUAGCAUGGCUUUGUCUUUGUCCAGUGCACUUUGAAAGCCAAUUUUGUAGGCUGAAACUUAAGAGGAGAAAGGUGAGACAGGUCCAAGUAAACAGACUGCUGACCACAGAAGCAGAGAUUAAAUGACUCUUGAUGACAUUCUCAGGAAGGCAGAAACCUUCAGGAGACAUGGAUCACCCCAUGAAGAAUUCUACUAACUCUACCAUCUGAUAAAGGACUCUUACCACCAUUUGACACCUGCCUGACAAAAGGUAUUUUGAAAGGGUGGAAGAGAUACCAGAGGGUCCAUCCUGAAGAGGAUUCACAUAAUUCCACCAGACAUCCCAAGUCUCAGGGACCUGAAGAUAUAAGAAACCCUGGGUUCCUAUGAACUCGGAGAUCAGGAGACACAUUGUUCCAGAAAUCUCCACAAAGAAGCCUGUACAUAGCCCCUCCCAAGUAUCCCACUUCCCAAACAUUUAUACCUGGUAAAUUCUGGGAGCAGCAGCUCCAUUGUAAGGCAAAGCUAAAUAAAAGGAAAAAGAUCUCCAAAAUAUUUUAUAAAAACAUUUUUUUCAUCAUUGAGGAAAAUGGAGCUGUCUUACUUUAACUCAGAAACCACAAUUUCAGAUAUGCUUACAGAAGUGCAAAUAUCAUAAAGAGAACAAUAACAACAACAAAAAAAUCUGUAUAAAACCCACACACACAUAUAUAUUGACAGUACAAUUCUGAAGGUUUUCAAAAAUUUACUGAAAUUAAAGAUAAUAAAAGGAGCAGAACAUACAAAAUACAUGGAGAAAAAUUUGUACUUAAUAAAAAGUCCUCCCCUGCCCCCCCCCCAAAAAAAAGUGAUAUAGAGAACAAGUAUCAUUGCUUUUUCCUGUUUUCUAUAUAAAUAUUUAUGACAAAUCUACAUAUACAUCAAGGCAUCCUCAGUGAAGGAUAUCAGUAGGAAACAGGCUUUUGUAAGCAAUAUUACACAGUGGAUCACAUCUUAACCAUAAAAACAAUUAACUAAAAUAUGUAGAUAAGGUUCCACUGUAAUUAUUGUGUUGAGUUGAAUAUGUAUGUGUAUGGCUUUUGAUUCAAUAAAGACACCUUAAUAGUUCUCUUCUAAAACUGUCUCCUGUGAACAUAUAUCAAAAUUAUGUAAGAUUCUGUAAAAGCCAUAACAAAAGAUACCUUUUUCAGUGAUUCUCCAAACAUUAAUAGUAAGCAAGAGGCAUAUGUUGAUCUAAUCACGUUUUAGUGGAUAACAAACAAGAGCCAUGAAGAACUGCAGUAGAAAAUCCCAUUAGUAUAACAAAUAUGAUUUUUAAAAAACAUGAUGAAAGAGUGAUGACCACUGUAUAGCCUGCAUGCUCCACUAACGUACAUACCCGUGAUGUUAAGAGAUACCACGAAAGAUCCAGCACUGAUUGGAAGUCCUAUAUUCAACUUACGGUAGGUAGAGUGUGGACAAAAGUCACACAGGAGGGGUAGGCAUGAAUUGGUUGUGAUGCACAUUGCUGAGUAAAACAUUUCCAUCAAUGAGGUCAAAGAUUUGCUUGAGGAUUUUCGUGUUCUCAAAUUAUCUGCCUAAGUUUUAUGAAACUGGUUUUUUGUAUCCCUAUUAACACCUGCCGAAUUAGUUAGUAGUUUUUCGUGUGGCUUCUAGGAAGCAGAGGUAGUAAAACAAUUAUCCACUGUAUCUAUUAAACAUAUUAGUCUUUCUCUAUACUUACUAUAGUAAGAGAAAAGAAAAACUGUAUCUAUUAAACAUAUUAGUCUUUCUCUAUACUUACUAUAGUAAGAGAAAGAAAAACAGAUGAAUCGAUAAUAAUAAUGUGUGAAAGUGCUACAGUAGAUCAAGGCUUCCAAAGCAUUUUCUAUACAUCAUCAUACUAGCUUGAUGGCUAAAGCCUCUUUAGAUGAGUUUGGAAAGUUUUAAACUACAAUUGUAUUGAUAUUUACAUUCUAGCUGUAUCAAAAAAUUUUCUCAAUAUUCUCUCCAGAACAAUUAUUGUUUCAUUCUUCAUAUCCUUUUUAAUUUAAUUUUAUUAUUUUUUAAU